rnacentral:lncRNA from 1 species
GCUCGCGUCGCUCCGGCAGAGGCCACUAGGCUGCAGCAUCCGGGCGGCGCUCAGGGCUCUUCUGCGGAUCCGCGCUCCCCUCCGCCGGGACCCCACGCACGGGGGCAGCUGCCGCUACUCCGCACCCGCCUGGGGCUGAACUCAGAAUUGGUGUCACCAUCCCCAGGGCUAGCGCCCGCAAGCCGCCCCAGAAGUGGGACUCGCGUCACAGUGGGAAGAGGGGAGGAGAGUGGCCCCAAAAGACGGGCCCGGCCCCGGGGCGCUGGGCUGGAGCUGCAGUGUGCCCCGCUCCCGCCCAAACCCCGGGGAUUGGGUGCUGGAAGCCGCACGGCCACCGACCUCGACCUCAGCUAGGAAGUGUGGAGCCCAGGCGGAGGGCUGGGAGUGAGUGCGGGGUGCUUGUGGGGUGUGUGCAGAAUUCACGGAAGGCAACGACAGGAAAGCAAAAGUGACUCACCAGACAAUAGAGAAGUUAGGAGGACCUGGGCCCUGGACGUGUGCAUAAGAAGGGAACAACAGCCACUAAAGACAGCUUGCAGUUGCCAGCCUUUCUUCUUUUCCUAUAUCAACACUGGAACGGCUAACCUCUUGUUUCACCAAGCAAGCAAAAAUGAAAAGAAAAAAAGAGAAAGAAAUGUUCCUGGUGUGUGGAAUUGGGUUUGUGAACACAGCUGGAAAGCAUUGCACGUGGCUCUCUCCUCAAGAACAAGCCCUGAGAAAAAAUGUUGCUCAGGAUUAUUUACUUAUUUUUUUCAUGUUAACUGUGCAGAGCACAUGUGGAAAGACCUAUUCCUGGUAAAGUUUAUUAGUGAGUGGCCAGUUUUAGAAACAAGAGCUGACAAAAGUGCCCCACUUGCAGGCUCCUGAAAAUGGGCUGGUGUUUAACACAACAAAAAAAUCCAUUUUGACGGAGGAAAGGGGGUUAAUUCUAUUCUGUAAGGAAGAUCAUAGUCACUUAGGGAAGGGAGGAAGACUGGGAGAUGGAGGGAUCUGCAUAGGGAAUAGACAAGGGGAAAGUCAUCAUGGUGGAAGAAAGAAAUUACCUGUUGAAGAACACAUCUUAUCACAGCCUGCGUGCUUGCCAUGAAUAUUUUAGUUCACCUUGAUACUUGGUCUGGGAAUUGGAAUGGAGAUGGGGCUCCCAAAAGGACAAGUUCACAGGGAAUCCAUUUUUCUCAAAUAAGGAGUUGAGCAGUCACAGGCAGGUGGGACUCCCGGGACAGACCUCCUUCUGUUCUCCAGCCCCUCAUUCCUAGCAGGCUGGCUUUCAGUCUACGUGUUCUUUCCUUAUGUAGUCACCAGUCAGGAUUCAACCAGAGAAACAAACCACUAUAAGUGAUGAAGAAUGACAGAUUUAUUGUUAGGCACCAGAUCUGUGCUGUUCAAUAUAGUAGCCACUAGCAACAUGUGGCAACUUAAAUGAACGAAAAUUAAGAGUAAAUGAAGUUUCUCUGUCUCACUAGGUAAACUUCAAGUGCUCAAUAGCCACAUGCAUGUGACUAAUGGCUAUCAUAUUGGGCAGCUCAUAUACAAAACACUUCCAUCAUCACAGCAGUUCUACUGGAGAGUGAGACAUUAGACUUUACAUGAUCGUGGGAGCUUGUGAAGUCUAUUCAAAGAUGUUUGCUGUCUUUGGUUCUAGUGUCGAAUGUAAAGUCACAAUAGGUCAGACAGAAUGGCAGUCUGGGUAGAAAGCCAGAUGUGGAUAAAAGCAAGUACAGGCUUGGAACCUGCAUGGACAAACUGGAAUUCAUGAAAAACUAGAAUCCUCCAAGACAGACUGGAUUUGUGUGUGUCUCUCACUACCUCUGACCUUGAUAAUAUGGGUGUCCUGCAGGAGAAGCUGGCACCCUUCAUGGGGCUGCACAGGCAUUUGGCUUAGGAGGUGGAGAAGC